GUUUGGAUAAUAUUCUAGCAAAGCUAAUCAUGUUUGAAAAGGUAAUAGUAGCUUAUAAUAAAUUUUAAUCAAAUUAAAGUAGUAUAAUUUUCACAAUAUUUUACCAUUGUCAUCCUAAUUUCAAGACAAGAAGCACAUUUGAAACUAUAUCAAAAAAGGGAAUUCAAUACAGCCCUCCCAAAUAAAAAUGUCUACAUGAAGUCAGUUCUAAAUAUCAUCACAUCAAUUACUAAUCAACUUCAAAGAUUAUACGCAUCAAAGCAUGAAAUUAAACAAUACAUGGAAAAAAAUAAAAAUCCAAAGAAAAAGUUAUCACGACAUUGACAUUUUAAUAUCAAAAAUCUCAAAGUGUAUACCUGCAUUUCAUGUUUGGAUGAAACA
rnacentral:misc_RNA from 1 species